rnacentral:rRNA from 1 species
GUGAGGAAUAUUGGACAAUGGGCGCAAGCCUGAUCCAGCCAUGCCGCGUGCAGGAAGACGCAUCUAUGGUGUGUAAACUGCUUUUGUACGGGAAGAAACACUCCCUCGUGAGGGAGCUUGACGGUACCGUAAGAAUAAGGAUCGGCUAACUCCGUGCCAGCAGCCGCGGUAAUACGGAGGAUCCAAGCGUUAUCCGGAAUCGUUGGGUUUAAAGGGUCCGUAGGCGGUUUAAUAAGUCAGUGGUGAAAGCCCAUCGCUCAACGAUGGAACGGCCAUUGAUACUGUUAGACUUGAAUUACAAGGAAGUAACUAGAAUAUGUAGUGUAGCGGUGAAAUGCUUAGAUAUUACAUGGAAUACCAAUUGCGAAGGCAGGUUACUACUUGUGGAUUGACGCUGAUGGACGAAAGCGUGGGGAGCGAACAGGAUUAGAAACCCGUGUAGUCC